GUCUUCUUAGUGUACUUAAAACAAGUGACUUCCAAUUACUAGAACCCGGUUUAACCCCGGGAGAAGAUA
rnacentral:tRNA from 1 species